UUAAGAUCAAUCAGUUAAGUCAGAUGAUUCCAGAUCAGUUGGGUCUAAUGAAAUCCAAGUUAGUGAGAGAACAGACAUGCAGUUUAAGAGCAAUCUGCUCUUAACCAUAUAGCUUUAAGUAUUCCUGAAAGACUGUGAGAUUAACAUUAAUUAUUGGAAAAACCAUGGAACAAAAGAUCUUACAAAUCACCUGUAAGGGAAAACACACCGUGCUGGAGUUCUUCUACCAACUGCUGCACUCCAAAUGGGAUAUCCCUAGGCACCAAAUCAUGCCAUGUACUGCUGAAUACCCACAGUAACAUUAUGAAAUAAAGGGAAACCAGCACAUUAGACAGAGAGAUUCCCAACUGUACAUAAAGUAAAAGACCCUAGAAAUAUCAGCUUUAAGAGAGACUGAAGGAAGGAAGAGAUCCUAAGGGUUAACCUUACACUCCUGGACUUGCUAUUAGAAGUAUUGUUUGUUUUAAUAGCACUUCAGGGAGUUCUGAGUAUUUCUGGUCCUUCCUCACUUGUACCAGCACUUCAAGGAAAAAAAGUAGUAUGCAAGUGUAAGAGGAACAGAAUUUGUCUUUCUGAAUGUUAGUUCUGUAACUGUUUUCAUUGCAGGUUACUCUUCACAAGUCUCAAACCAUCAAUAAAAGAACAGCUAUUUGGUGCUCUUAGAGCUGUAGCACUAAACACGUUUAAUUAGAAUGUAUUGCAGCAACUCUGGAUUGAGACAUAGCCCUACAUGAUUAAUUCACCUAUUGAAAUGGCUACAACAAAACAGAAGGAGCUAGCAAGGCCAUCCUUUAAGAGCUGUGUCAGCCUACUUUUCUCCACAUUGUCUAAAGAGGUAUUCUCCUUCACUAUACGCUUGAAUCACUCACAAGUCUUGACUAUCACUGACAGCUGUGGAUGGUGUACAUAACAGAUCAACAGACAUCAAUCUCAAUUCAUCAUACUCUCUAUUAGCAAUUAUCCUUUUUCAUUUCAAAAUCAAGGCCAGUUUUAUUUACACAUUUAUCUUUCAAGAUGCUGUCAACAUUUUGAGUACUACUAAUCAUUCACCAUCAACUACUACUAUCCAGUUAUGUAGAAAACAGAAUAUUCAUAGAAU